CCAAUAGCGUAUAUUAAAGUUGUUGCAGUUAAAAAGCUCGUAGUUGAACUUCGGAACCAGUAGGUUGGUCGUGCCUACGGUACGUACUGGCCUUACCGGUUUCUCCCUUCUGACGAACCAUGAUGUCAUUAAUUUGGUGUUGUGGGGAAUCAGGACGGUUACUUUGAAAAAAUUAGAGUGUUUAAAGCAGGCUUUAAGCUUGAAUAGAUUAGCAUGGAAUAACGAAAUAGGACGUUUGAUCCUAUUUUGUUGGUUUCUAGGAUCGACGUAAUGAUUAAUAGGGAUAGUUGGGGGCAUUAGUAUUCAAUUGUCAGAGGUGAAAUUCUUGGAUUUAUUGAAGACUAACUACUGCGAAAGCAUUUGCCAAGGAUGUUUUCAUUAAUCAAGAACGAAAGUUAGGGGAUCGAAGACGAUCAGAUACCGUCGUAGUCUUAACCAUAAACUAUGCCGACUAGGGAUCGGAUGAUGUUAAUUCUUUAAUGACUCAUUCGGCACCUUACG
rnacentral:rRNA from 1 species